UCAAGUCAUCAUGCCCCAUAUGUCCUGGGCUACACACGUACUACAAUGGGCUUUAGACAAAGAGAAGCGAAGCCGCGAGGCGGAGCAAACCUCAUAAAUAAGCUCUCAGUUCGGAUCGCAGGCUGAAACUCGCCUGCGUGAAGUAGGAAUCGCUAGUAAUCGCAGAUCAGCAUGCUGCGGUGAAUACGUUCCCGGGCCUU
rnacentral:rRNA from 1 species